rnacentral:rRNA from 1 species
UACGUAGGUGACCAGCGUUGUCCGGAUUUACUGGGCGUAAAGAGCGCGCAGGCGGUCGUUCAAGUCGAGUGUGAAAGCCCCCGGCUCAACUGGGGAGGGUCAUUCGAUACUGAUCGACUCGAAGGCAGGAGAGGGAAGUGGAAUUCCCGGUGUAGUGGUGAAAUGCGUAGAUAUGUGGAGGAACACCAGUGGCGAAGGCGGCUUUCUGGUCUGUAACUGACGCUGAGGCGCGAAAGCGUGGGGAGCAAACAGG